UAAGGAAUCUUCCACAAUGGGCGAAAGCCUGAUGGAGCAAUGCCGCGUGCAGGAAGACGCUUUUCGGAGUGUAAACUGCUUUUCUGAAGGAAGAUUAUGACGGUACUUCAGGAAUAAGGAUCGGCUAACUACGUGCCAGCAGCCGCGGUAAUACGUAGGAUCCAAGCGUUAUCCGGAAUUACUGGGCGUAAAGCGUGCGCAGACGGUUUGAUAGGUCGAUUGCGAAAUCCCGUGGCUCAACCAUGUGGAC
rnacentral:rRNA from 1 species